rnacentral:rRNA from 1 species
UACGUAGGGUGCGAGCGUUUAAUCGGAAUUACUGGGCGUAAAGUGUGCGCAGGCGGCCGCGCAAGUCGAGUGUGAAAGCCCCGAGCUUAACUUGGGAAUUGCGCUCGAAACUACGUGGCUGGAGUGUGGCAGAGGAAGGUGGAAUUCCAGGUGUAGCGGUGAAAUGCGCAGAUAUCGGGAGGAACACCGGUGGCGAAGGCGCCACUCUGGGCCGAAACUGACGCUGAGGAGCGAAAGCAUGGGGAGCGAACAGGA